AUUGAACGCUGGCGGCAGGCCUAACACAUGCAAGUCGAGCGGAAGAAGGGGGCUUGCUCCUGGAUUCAGCGGCGGACGGGUGAGAAAUGCCUAGGAAUCUGCCUUGACGUGGGGGAUAACGUCCGGAAACGGGCGCUAAUACCGCAUACGUCGUGAGGGCGCAAGUGGGGGAUCUUCGGACCUCACGCUAUCAGAUGAGCGCAGAUGGGAUUAGCUAGUACGUGGGGUAACGGCCUUACAAGGCGGCGAUCCGUAACUGGUCUGAGAGGAUGAUCACGCACACUGUAUGUGAGACACGGUCGAGACUCCGACGGGAGGACGCAGUGGGGAAUAUUGGACAAUGGGGGAAAGGCGGAUCCAGCCAUGUCGCGUGUGUGAAGAAGGUCUUAGGAUUGGAAAGUACUUUAAGUUGGGAGGAAGUGCAGUACGUUAAUACCUUGCUGUUUUGACGUUACCAACAGAAUAAGCACCGGCUAACUUCGUG
rnacentral:rRNA from 1 species